rnacentral:misc_RNA from 1 species
GCCCAAUGUGACUUUUGCAACUAGAACUCCCCCCUUUCUCUCUCCUUCUUCCCAUGUAGUGAUCUCCCUUCUGUCUAUUGUUGUUCAGUUAAACAUUUCCAGCUAACACGUUAGCACUGCUAACCAUUUUGUGCAUGGAUUCUGUUUUGCCUCUCCUUCAUGGAUAUACACUAAUUUCUGUUGUAUCGUAAAUGAUAAAAAAUAAUUAAUAGCUAACCUCUAAAAAUAUAUACAUACACACAAACUCACCAACUAUCUAUACAUAUAUACUUUUUACGUUUAUGAAACAAUAAGAUGGAGAAAAAUUAAUUAUUAGCUGGUAACAAAACGUCGCUACAAUAUCUCUAGCUUGUGCUUCUGCAGUAGAACAGUGGAGAAAUAUUUAGCAAGACAUCCCAACGUAUUCUUUCUUCGUUUGUUUUUUCUUCAUGACGUCAUUAUGACGUCAGUGUAAAUAUGGCGGCCAUCGAGAGGAGCCAGAUUGCGCAGUCCAAAAGCAGUCUCGAAGCUGCUGCUGAGGCUGCAGCCAAAGUUAAUGCUAUGCUUAUUGCUAAAGGAAAAUUAAAGCCCUCUCAACUAGUGCAGCCAGUUGUGAAUGCUAAAUCUAAGCCUGUUCAAGAACAUACUGGAAUAAAUAUUGGACCAGUAUCACAUCCUGGUAAUUUGAUAGUUGCAGCAGUAGUGAUCAAUGAUGUUCCCACACACUGUCGAAAUAUGCUUACAAAAGGGACAGCACAAGAAGAGAUAUCAAAACUGAGCGGAGCUUCUGUUUCUACAAGAGGCAGAUAUAUGAGUCCUGAAGAUAAAAUAAAAUUUGCAGGACAAGCUAAAGAAAAACCAUUGUACCUUUGUGUUCAAGGACCAACUCAGGAAACUGUUGACAAUGCAGUAAGCCGUAUAAAUGAAAUUAUAGCUAAUGGUCUUCGACCAAAAGGUAGUAGGUUUUCUCCAAUUGUGCGUCCCCCUUCAAAUUUACCCCCUGGCGUACGUCCUCCACCAAUCAACCAACCUCCUCCCACAAUGAUGUCUUUCCAGCCUCAACAUCAUCAGAGUUUAACAUUUGUUCAAGAGAAGUUAUUCAUUGGACUAGAACAUGCACCACCAACAUUUGAUGUAAAAACCAAAAUUCUUGGUCCUGCUGGCUGCUUUUUGCAACACAUUCAAAAUGAAACUGGUGCAAAAGUAACAUUAAGAGGAAAGGGAUCAAAUUUUAUAGAAUCUACAUCAGGCCGUGAAGCUUUUGAGCCUAUGCAUAUCCAUCUCCAACAUGCAAAUAUUAUGGGACUGCAACAGGCCAAACAGCUUGCAGAAAAUCUCAUACAAACGGUUCAGCAAGACUACGCCCAGUUUCAGCAGGCCCUGGCUGCCAUACCCGCAUCCAUGAGUCCUGGGACAGCCACCUUGUUGGCUGGCUUACAGCAGCAGACCUCGGCCAACCCUAAUUGCGGUCCCGGUGGGAUGAUGGCCCAGCAGCAGAGUAUUCCACAGCUUAGUGUCUCACAACAGCCUCAGUAUUCACAGAUUCCAGGUCCAGGCAUGCAAACUGUGACGUCCUUGCCACCAACUUUUCAGCAAGUUCUACCAACGUCGUCUGUUGUACUUUCAGCCAAUUCUCUUCCUGCAAGUCUGACCAGUAUGCCACCACCAACAUUAGUGUCUCAAGCUUCUGCUCAAGGUAUGGUCAGCUCAGCUAAUGCAGGUGGCUUAGUAAUUCCUGUUUCCUAUUCCACAUCACUAACACCUAUGCCUAUGGUCACAAGUCUCUCAACAUCUCCACUUCUCUCAGUUGGCGCUGGUCCUCCACCGGCUGCUCCUGCUGGUCAAAUGGAUGCCAGUGGAAGUUUAUUACCAAAUGCUUCCCUUCCACCACCUCUUUUACAAGUUUCAACAGCUCCUGGUAUGAGUCAAUAUGCAACCACUACAAAUGAUCCAUUUUUAGGCAAUGCUAAUUUAGGUAAUCCUCAACCUGCCCAAGUGAUAGUUGGCCAGCAGACAGUCACCCCUCUUGGUAUGUCAUUAAGUGGUGGAACCCCUCAGAUGGCCCCCCAAUAUGGUUCUCCUGUUCCUAAUUCAAUAGCACCUCCAAUGAAUGCACUACAACCUGGAGUGCAAUUUGUUUCUCAGCAACAGCUCCCGCCAGCUGGACAACCACCACCUCCCUACUAUGGACAGUUUUCUGGUAGUGCUGCUAGUCUGCCAAUGAGUCUUCCUGCAGCUGCCACAUAUACUGUUGCUCCAACAACAUACGCCAUUACAACAACAGGUUAUGCCUAUAAUGUCGGGCCACCGAAAGACGAUUCUGUUCAACCUCCACCUCCACCACCUCAUCAUGCACCUCCUUCACAGUCACCCGUCCCACCACAGCAGCCUCCAAAACGGAGAUUUACUGAAGAGAAACCUGAAGAUAAAAUACCAGAGAAUUUGUUGGGCUAUCAGCAUGGUCCUCCUCAGUUGGCCAAUAUGAUUGCUUCUGGUCCUCCACCACCUGUAGUAGGAAGCCAUCACCAAUCACCUGUGACACAGUCUUUUACCCAGCCUUUAGUUGCAGUCACUCAGACAUCUCAGGUUUAUGAAGAAUUCAGGAAGCAAACGUACGGCGCAGCUUCAAGGAGGUACUGAGACACAGGAACAACGUAAAAAAAUCAAAGGCGCUCUUGGCAGUGUAGCCGUAUAUGGAUCUGAUGAUGAAGAAGAUGAUUCUAGUUCUCCAAGUCGACAACAACAGCAACAGAGAACUGUCCCUUACAGCCAGUCAAGU